UACGAAGGGGGCUAGCGUUGCUCGGAAUCACUGGGCGUAAAGCGCACGUAGGCGGCUUUUUAAGUCAGGGGUGAAAUCCUGGAGCUCAACUCCAGAACUGCCUUUGAUACUGAGAAGCUUGAGUCCGGGAGAGGUGAGUGGAACUGCGAGUGUAGAGGUGAAAUUCGUAGAUAUUCGCAAGAACACCAGUGGCGAAGGCGGCUCACUGGCCCGGUACUGACGCUGAGGAGCGAAAGUGUGGGGAGCGAACAGG
rnacentral:rRNA from 1 species